UGGGGAAGGUAAUCACACAGGAGAGCAGCGAGGAGGUGGACCUGAGAUAAAAGACAAGGGUGCUGUUGACGUACCCUGGCACCGAGCUCGCUCUGAGGAUUUGACGUGUGCAAACAAGGUAGAGUACAUAAAGAAGCAUGUUCGAGAGAAGGUAAGCAGGUGUGCUGAGCUGCCGCAAGAAAGACAGUCCACCAAUCCGAGAAACAGAAGCACCAAGAUUUGAAUUCUUCUGUUUUCUGGGAGUUAAAGGAGCUUUUCGUUGUGUCUGAACAGCAGCUGCAGUAUGGAGCCCAUCUCUCAGACCAUGGAGGCAGCAGAUGCUCAUCUGCAGAGGCGUGGGUGGAGGUUUGUGACCAAACGGGGAGCCUCAUCGCAGUUCGUGGGGAGCACCAUGAUGAUCAUGGCCACUUAUGCCGUCACCACCCUGACUAUGAACCUGGGGAAAAAAAUACAGGAACGAAGAUCGAGACCGAACGGCAACUAAAGAUGGCCUCAUCACUGCCUUCACCCUGUGAUGAUGUCGGCAGCAACGCCCGGAAGAGAUCAGAAAUGGUUGGACUCAGCUUUGGUGCUUCAUUCAACUCAUCUCAACUUUCCUCUCUGAAGCUGGGAGGUGGUCUUUCACCUUAACCUGAGGUCAUUAUCAUAAAUGAGUGAUGACAAAUGGACGUGAAUACAUCACAUGCACUGCUGCCAUGUGACCACAGGGUGGAGAACUGGGACUACUUCAUGACAACGAGCCACCAGCCCACUAGGGGCUGAAUGUGUCUGACAGUUCAGACAUUAAAAAACAAAGACAGUGGCAUUUUCUCAACCCAUUAAAUGCAUUUAAAGAACGAUGAUUAGAGCUAUGUCGAUGUUCUGUGACUAACAAGUAGAACUCUGAUAAUUUGUUCUUGUAUUAUGAGUUUCUUUCUUGUUUUUUUUUUAAUCAUCAUAAAGUUGCCUUUUAAGUUUAAAACAAGCCUGUGUGACAGCAGACUGUAAAAACUGUAAAAUGUCAGGUCGCUCGAGUGUUUCUUGUGAGACAGAAAAUUAUUGUAAUGCUGUGCUGAAUCACUGACUUUAAAUAAAUGAUCAAAUAUA